UUAUUUAUUUGCUUUAGCGUCCAUUAAACAAUAACCAUCUUGUGGGUUGAAGUUACUGUACAACUUAUCUGUUUGUAGGUGUUUGACAUGCACAUUUGAAGGAGCACAUGAGAAAGCCACCUGACUAGGCAGUGUGAUAGGAUUGCUGAUUUCUGCUGAUGGCCAUGCCUACCAUACUCUGGGAUUCUGGGAUUUUACAUUUGCAUGAAACAUCUCUCCUUGUGCUAACUCCUGAUUUGACUUGCAUGACAUCACCAAAGUGUUUCUAGUCAUCUAGAUCUCUUGGAAACUGGGGCCAUGAAUCAUUGAAAGACCUAUUGGAAGCAUUUUGAGGAACUGGGUGCCCAUAUGGCCUGUCCUUGGCAGGGGCUCUGGACUGGGAUGGAAGUCUCCCAUAUCCAUGUGUCUGGGCAAAAUGCAAAUGGCAGUAACCACAACCAGCUCCUUAUUUCUCACUGAUGCUGCUCAGAGACCCAGCAACCUUCACCCUGGAAGUAAUCCAGUGGUUUUGACAUGAACUCUGAGGUGGGGCUUGGUUUUUCAAGAAAACUUCUCUGCUGCCAAGCCAAGUCUAUUCCGGAUGCUGGGACCCAUGAAGUGGCCACCACCACAUGGAGCAGUUGAGACCCACAGUGAGGAGCAACUCUCCUUCUUACAGGGGUAUCCCAACCUCCUUUAUACAGCCCAAUUGCUGGGGGCAGCUGAUUCUGUUUCUGGCUACUGAGAUGGGGCAUGUACCCAGGUGGAGCCUAUACCAAUGACAGACAACCAUUCCCUGAUCAGAGUUAUUGCAUCCAGGGUGGGUAGUGAGCCUGCAGAUCAUGUUUGCUGAGAAAUUUCUGGGAAAGAAGUGUCCUCUGCUUUAGAAAAACUGGGAAACCAGCUUCUUUCUCUAUCCUUAAAUAUGAAUGGAGGCAGAGACCAGGCAGUUGUGGACAGCCAAUACAGGAUUGCUCGGAUUGAAGAUGACGUUGCCAAGGGCAGACAGAUGUCGAAGUAAACCUGGUCUCUGAUGACACUGUUGAGCAAUUGAACUGAACCAUUCCUGAAACUAACCUUACUUCUAGCAUUCAGUCAUGUGAGCUAUUAAUUCUCUUUUAUCGUUCGAGUUUUUUUUUUUUCCUCACUCAGUGGAAACUAUUCAUGGCCACAGUAAGGGAAGAUAAUAUUUCUUUCUCAAAAGCUAACUAGAACUUUGAUAGAGUAUAGUUAUUAUGCUUGGAAAGAACUAAUUAGAUCUCAGUAUUCAAGAGCUAUGUGAUAACUGGUUCAUGUUAUAUUUACAGCUCUAUAUUCAAAUAAAACCCAAAUGUCAGAUGCUUGAAUAUGAAUAUAAAAAUAUCAGGACCUGCUGUUAUUGCAGCUGAAACUGAAUUAUAGCUCCCUGAGGGAGAAUCAAUAAUUUUCUUUAAAGCCAGACUCAAGAUUCCUAAAUGUACUUCCAAAUAACAAAUAAUAAAUGGCCAAGGAAAAUAUUUUUAAAAUACCUCUACAGAGGAUAAAAAUUAGGGGGAGAAUGCCACUUGU
rnacentral:lncRNA from 1 species